rnacentral:lncRNA from 1 species
GGGGCGGUCCAAGGGCCAAAGAAGGGUUUGUGACAGGGUCAAAGGGUUGGGGUUGAGGAACUGAGGUGUCUAUAGUGAAAAAGUCUUCAGAACUACAUCCUCCUACUCCUCCUCUAACCAAAAGAUCAGCCACCUUCUUCAUGAAUUGAGCUGAAGCUUCAGCUUCAGCUUGCCUCUUCACUGUCUUUUUAAGCUCCUUGUACUUGAUCUUUAGCUUGAAGAUUGUC